rnacentral:rRNA from 1 species
CCAGGUUUCCGUAGGUGAACCUGCGGAAGGAUCAUUAUCGAAUAACCUUGACGCGGUUGUAGCUGGCUCUUAGGAGCAUGUGCACACUCGUCACUUUUAUCUUUCCACCUGUGCACCCACUGUAGGCCUGGAUACCUCUCGCUUGGUUUCAAGCGGAUGCGAGGAUUGCUGCUGCUCUUUCUGCAAAGGAAGGCCGGCUCUCCUUGAAUUUCCAGGUCUAUGUUUUUCUUACAUACCCCAAUUGAAUGUUACCGAAUGUCAUCAAUGGGCGUACGCCUAUAAAACACAAUACAACUUUCAGCAACGGAUCUCUUGGCUCUCGCAUCGAUGAAGAACGCAGCGAAAUGCGAUAAGUAAUGUGAAUUGCAGAAUUCAGUGAAUCAUCGAAUCUUUGAACGCACCUUGCGCUCCUUGGUAUUCCGAGGAGCAUGCCUGUUUGAGUGUCAUUAAACUCUCAACCUCUUCAGCUUUUGUUGUUGAGGCUUGGAUGUGGGGGUUUUGCAGGUCUGCCUUAACUGUGCGGUCUGCUCCCCUGAAAUGUAUUAGCGGGUUGGCUUCCGUCUAUUGGUGUGAUAAUUAUCUACGCCGUGGAUGGGUUUGGCUUUCAGACCAGCUUCUAACUGUCCUUUGGACAACUCUUGACAUUUUUGACUUCAAAUCAGGUAGGACUACCCGCUGAACUUAAGCAUAUCAAUAAGCGAAGGAAAAGAAACUAACAAGGAUUCCCCUAGUAACUGCAAGUGAAGCGGGAAAAGCUCAAAUUUAAAAUCUGAUGGUCUUUGGCCGUCCGAGUUGUAUCCUAGAGAAUUGUUACCCGUGCCGGACCGUGUAUAAGUCUCCUGGAAUGGAGCGUCCUAGAGGGUGAGAAUCCCGUCUUUGACACGGACUACCGGGGCUUUUGUGGUGCGCUCUCAAAGAGUCGAGUUGUUUGGGAAUGCAGCUCAAAAUGGGUGGUAAAUUCCAUCUAAAGCUAAAUAUUGGC